GACGAACGCUGGCGGCGUGCUUAACACAUGCAAGUCGAACGGAAAGGCCCUGCUUUUGUUGGGUGCUCGAGUGGCGAACGGGUGAGUAACACGUGAGUAACAUGCCCUUGACUUUGGGAUAACUUCAGGAAACUGGGGCGAAUACCGGAUAGGAGCUCCUGAUGCAUGGUGGGGGUUGGAAAGUUUCGGCGGUUGGGGAUGGACUCGCGGCUUAUCAGCUUGUUGGUGGGGUAGUGGAUUACCACGGCUUUGACGGGUAGGCUGCCUGGGAGGGUGAACGGCCACAUGGCGACUGAGAUACGGAGCAGACUCCUACGGGCGGCAGCAGUGGGGAAUAUUGCACAACGGGCGGAAGCCUGAUGCAGCAACGCCGCGUGCGGGAUGACGUCCUUCGGGUUGUAAACCGCUUUCGCCUGUGCCGAAGCGUGAGUGACGGUAAUGGGUAAAGAAGCACCGGCUAACUACGUG
rnacentral:rRNA from 1 species